rnacentral:rRNA from 1 species
CCUACGGGUUGCAGCAGUGAGGAAUAUUGGUCAAUGGGCGCAAGCCUGAACCAGCCAUCCCGCGUGCAGGAAGACGGCCCUAUGGGUUGUAAACUGCUUUUCCAGGGGGAGAAACUUGCGCACGUGUUGCGCAAUUGACGGUACCCUGGGAAUAAGCAUCGGCUAACUCCGUGCCAGCAGCCGCGGUAAUACGGAGGAUGCGAGCGUUAUCCGGAUUCAUUGGGUUUAAAGGGUGCGUAGGCGGACUAUUAAGUCAGUGGUGAAAUCCUGCAGCUUAACUGCAGAACUGCCAUUGAUACUGAUAGCCUUGAGUUUGGUUAAGGUAGGCGGAAUGUGUAAUGUAGCGGUGAAAUGCUUAGAUAUUACACAGAACACCAAUUGCGUAGGCAGCUUACUGAGCCGACACUGACGCUGAGGCACGAAAGCGUGGGGAUCGAACAGGAUUAGAUACCCUAGUAGUC